rnacentral:rRNA from 1 species
GAUGAACGCUGGCUACAGGCUUAACACAUGCAAGUCGAGGGGAAACGACGGGGAAGCUUGCUUCCCCGGGCGUCGACCGGCGCACGGGUGAGUAACGCGUAUCCAACCUGCCUCUGACUGAGGGAUAACCCGUCGAAAGUCGGCCUAAUACCUCAUGGCAUCGUCUGCGGGCAUCCAACGACGAUUAAAGAUUUCAUCGGUCAGGGAUGGGGAUGCGUCUGAUUAGCUUGUUGGCGGGGUAACGGCCCACCAAGGCUACGAUCAGUAGGGGUUCUGAGAGGAAGGCCCCCCACAUUGGAACUGAGACACGGUCCAAACUCCUACGGGAGGCAGCAGUGAGGAAUAGUGGUCAAUGGGCGGGAGCCUGAACCAGCCAAGUAGCGUGCAGGAUGACGGCCCUAUGGGUUGUAAACUGCUUUUAUGCGGGGAGAAAGUGAGGGACGUGUCCUUCAUUGCAGGUACCGCAUGAAUAAGGACCGGCUAAUUCCGUG